AUUAUUGCCUUCCGGGCACUUCCGUAUACUCUCAUAAAGCUUCGUAAAAGAUGUUCUGGAGAAGACAAGUUAGUUAGAUGAAGGCUAGGCGUUCUAGGACUCUCUAGCUAGCUAGUAUAGCUAUGUAGCUGGAUUGCUUGGCACCUAGGAAGGAUCUUCGAAGAAAUAAAGAGGCAAAAACUCCCGUCGCUUGAAUGGUGGUGGUAAGUGUCAGAGGCCUGAGAAACGCUAGUCUAUUGGCUAGCAUGUUGUUAUGGAGUGUUUAUGAGGACAAGUGGCACGGGAUACGUACAUCUAAAGAAACAAGAGUGGAUCUACGCCAAGCUAGCUAGCUAGAUAGCUGCUCUUUCUAAUCUAUUUCUGUUGCUAAAUUAUGUUUGUUAAGAAGUGGAGCUAUAAUAUACCUGGCUCCUCUUGAUGAUUGUAAGUACUGGGCUGAUGAAAUAGUCCUGUACAAGUUGUCAUCUUUUA